rnacentral:tRNA from 1 species
GUCCCGGUAGCUCAGCUGGAUAGAGCAACGCCCUCCUAAGGCGUAGGCCGCGGGUUCGACUCCCGCCUGGGACAUCA